GGAGGGGUCGGAUAGUGGUUCAUUCCACACGCUUGGAAAGCGUGCGUCUGAAUAAGACUCGCGGGUUCAAAUCCCGCCCCCUCCG
rnacentral:tRNA from 1 species